GGGGUUGUGGCGCAGUGGUAGCGCGUUCGCUUUGCAUCCAUGAUUCAAUCAUGCGAAAGGCCUAGGGUUCGAUCCCCUACUGCUCCA
rfam:Pyronema omphalodes CBS 100304, CBS100304, WGS project CATG01000000 data, contig: Pcon_v1_contig609